rnacentral:tRNA from 1 species
GCAGUGGUAGUUCAGUAGUAGAAUUUUCGCCUUCUAUGCAGGAGACCCAGGUUCAAUUCCUGGCCAGUGCA